AUGUAUGGGUCUGUAUUAUUACAUUCAUGGCCCUCAGUUUUGCUGGCCAAGAAAAAGCACCCAAGGGCCAGCCCUGGUUGCCUAGUGGUUAAGCUCGGCACGCUCCACUUUGGCGACCCAGGUUUGGUUCCUGGGCAUGGACCCGUCUGUCAGUGGUUGUGCUGUUGUGGCAGCUCAUAUACAAAAAGAGGAAGAUUAGCAGUGGAUGUUAACUCAGGGCAAAUCUUCCUCAGCAAAAAAAAGAAAAAGGACCCAAGAGAACAACACGUAAAUACAAAUAUCCUUUUCUAUAGGAAUGUUCUAGAAUCACCUGGGCCUGUGAGUGAAAAGAUUGCUGCCCUGGCAGGCAGUUCCCAGGUGAUGCUGCUGCUCCGGGGACCACACUUUGAGAACCACCGAACCAGAGGAUUGCAAUUUUCUCACAUUUCAAGCUCAGCUGGCUCAGGAGAUUUCUGCUGGAAUAGUUCUACCCGGUGUAUAGCAGGACAGUGCUGGGACACUGACCACAGGACCUACCUCUCCGCCAGACAGAGAGCCCACAGCCCAGGCGCUGUCCUGCCUCUUCCCCACCAGGACUGCCUCCCCCUGCAGCUCCCGCCUCUCUCAUUCCCAACGCACUUUUCAGGCUGAGGCCUUUCUGAGGUGUGCCCAUCAAAGUCCAAGCAGAAAGGAGAUGCUCGCUUGUUGAGGAAAGCCACAGUAUUUGCCUCAACUAUGAUGUGAGUAUUAAAAAGUAUACUAAGUACCAAGGCCCUGAGUUUCAUUUCAGUAUCAUUGGUAAAAAGAAUAUAGAACUCCCAGCUAUGAGGUUAACAGACGGAUGAAACCACUCAUUGUUUAAAAAAGAAAACAAAAAUCCUCAUUAUGGUCCUGUUUAAAAAGUUAUGUUGUGGAAAGUUUCAAUUUUAGCUGGAAAGUGGUUGUAGAAAGAGCGAAUAUGUAUAUAGUUAUGCAUGUAAUUAUUGGUAAAGAAUCAUUGCAUACAAAUUAGAAUAAAACAAGCUGUGCUUCACGGACCA
rnacentral:lncRNA from 1 species